UUGAUCCACGAGAGAUUGACAGGCAGGAGUCUUGGGACUGGAACAAGACGUAGGGGGCUGUGGUACAUGGACUGUUGCAUGCCGGACUAGGAAGGAUGGGACAUGCUAGCUGCAGUUGCUGAGGACAAGGAGACUAGAGCAUUGAUCCAUCACUGUAGGAUGGGACAUGUGUCUUUUGACAAAACAUAUCAAGUAUUUCCUGAUGUAAUGAGUGGUGUGGACAAGAGCAAGCUGAAAUGUGAUGCGUGUGAGUUUGCUAAACAUACCAGAAACUCAUAUGUGAGUAAGGGGAUCAAGAGCAUAUCUCCUUUUGUGUUGAUCCACUCUGAUGUAUGGACCUGUCCAGUGUUAUCUGUGAGUGGUAUGAAGUACCUCGUUACGUUCAUUGAUUGUCAUUCUCGGAUGACUUGGGUCUAUCUUCUGAAACAUAAAGAUGAAGUGUUUCAGUGUUUCAAUUUAAUGUGA
rnacentral:rRNA from 1 species